GAACGGCUGUGAUAAUUGUCCAGAACAAGGAUUAGACUGUUGAGACGGAGAUAAUAUUUUUUUUGCGUUAUAACACCUAAGACUUACCGUCGAGCCAUCGGAGGCUAGUUAAAACGACGCCUAGUUCUGAAAAUACGGUGUUUGGUUUGGGUAGAAAGUCGUACGUAUCAGUGUGGAAUACCAAAAGCUGGUGACCAGUGAUAUAGAAGCAGUACCAGUCAUUAAAAAUGGCAGAAAGUGAUUCUUCUCCUAUUGCUGAAUUUUUCCAGGAUCGUGGCGUUCUCAUCACCGGAGCAACGGGCUUCAUGGGAAAGGUAUUAGUGGAGAAGCUACUUUGUUGCUGUAGUGGAGUGAAGACUAUUUACCUUUUGUUAAGGUCUAAAGGAGGACGUAACUCCAGGAUGCGUCUUGAAGAACUUCUAAAUGCUGAGAUUUUUCGUAACAUUAGGAAAAAACAACCUCACUUGCUAUCGAAACUGGUUCCUGUUCAUGGAGAUAUCAUUCUUCCUGGGUUUGGUUUACGACCUUCAGAUAUGACACUUAUUGCAAAUGAAGUUUCUGUAGUUUUUCAUUCUGCAGCUACUGUGAAAUUUGAUGAGCCUCUUAAGCGUUCUGUAGAGAUGAAUAUAAUAGGUACCCGUAGACUUGUAGAAGUCUGCCACAAAAUGCCACUUCUAGUGGCACUGAUUCAUGUUUCCACAGCUUACUGCAAUUGUGACAGGGAUGAAGUGGAUGAGAUAGUUUAUCCACCACCAGCAAACCCACAGAAGGUUAUUGAUGCCCUAGAAUGGAUGGAUGAAGAUCUGGUGGCAUUAAUCACUCCAAAACUUCUGGGAAAUCGUCCUAAUACAUAUACUUAUACCAAAGCCCUAGCUGAAAAUAUCCUUGUUGAGGAAUGUGGCAGUUUGCCUGUUGCCAUCAUUCGACCAUCUAUUGUAACAGCAGCAUGGAAAGAUCCCCUUCCAGGAUGGAUUGACAACUUUAAUGGACCUUCAGGCCUCAUUGUAGCAACAGGAAAGGGUGUAUUAAGAUCAAUGUUGUGUCAACCAUGUGGAACUGCUGACCUUAUACCUGUUGAUGUGGUUAUCAAUCUUGUAAUCAGUGUUGCAUGGUAUACAGCCACAAAAAGGCCCAACAAUAUUAUGGUUUACCAUUGUACUUCUGGCUCCCAAAAUCGGCUAACAUGGGGAGAGUUGGAAUCUCUUAUUUUUCCUCUUGUAUAUGCACAUCCCAGCAAGGAAGUAUUACGAUAUCCUGGUGGCAGUUUUAAAAGUAAUCGCCUGCGGAAUGAAAUUUCAGUAUUUUUCAAUCAUCAGGUUCCAGCCCAAAUACUUGACUUUAUGGCUCGAAUUCUGGGACGAAAGCCAAACCUGGGAUUAGAGAGAAUGGUUCAGCUGUAUUCUCGACUCAACCGAGCUGUAAGCUGUUUGGAGUUCUUCACAACACACGAGUGGACAUUCCAUAAUAGUAAUGCUGAGACAUUAUAUGAGCAGCUAGUUGGAAAAGACAAAAAAAAAAUUUUGACUUUUCCAUCAAAAGUCUUAACUGGCCAUCAUAUUUUGAAGAUUAUGUUCUAGGAACCAGGAAAUAUUUGCUAAAGGAAGACCCAUCUACACUUCCAGCUGCCCGAAAAAAUCUCAAAAGGAUGUACCUGUAUAGUCAGCUGACAAACAUACUCUUCCUGCUAGGCAUCUGGAGACUUCUGAUGAUUCGAUCAAACAUUACUAGACGUCUGUUGUGGUUCUUUCUGUCAAUAGCAGUUCGUUUGUACAGGCUAUUUCCUGUGUCUUUUAUCUAAUAAAUGUUUCCCAUGGCUCGAAGUGUAAAUGUUUUACUACCUGAAUCAAGAGCUGGAUAUAAGCACUUUGUAUUUACAAGAACUAUAGUAGUAAAAAAACUGAGAUGUAGAAGUUAAUCAGCAUACAACUUAUGCAAUUUUUUUACUUAAAACUUGUGUAGUUCUUUCAUUUGAUAUAUGUGUAUAUUGGUUUCUUUUUUAAAAAAUUACAAAUUUUUCUCUCUUAACAAGGAAGGAUAAUUACAACUGGCAUUUUAUGAUCACUUAAAAGAAAGAUAGUAGAAAGUAAAAAGUGAAUGGGUCAAAUGUGUGUAUAAAACUCAAACUUCAACCUAGUAAGCUUCUUUGUAAAUUUUAGUCUUCAGAUACCACAAGCAAACCAAUUAUUAGUCUGAAUUAGUGCUUGCAAAGCUAAAAUACAUACUCUCAAACUUAAUCCACUGUCUUGUAGAAUCAAUCUGUUUUUCAAAGAUUGAAAAGAAAUUGUCUGUAAUACUUUCUCAAAAUUGUACUCAUCUUCUUGGUUAGUUUCUUGACAUCUUGCCAUUACUGAAUACCAUACAUCUAUUGGUGAACCUUGAAUGUAUAUAAAUAUGGCAUGAGUAUCUCUGUUUUAUGUUAGAAAUGCACUGACUGUCAACUAAAAUGUUGCAAUUUAAGAGAAGCUGUAAGUGUUUUAACCUCUGUAGUUGGAGCUACCUCUUUUUAUUUUGUAAUGUUGUGAACUGCAAUGUUGGUUUUCAAUGUUUGUGUGUCACCAUAUAAAUACAAUUACUAGUCACCGAUUCAACACCUACCUGAAAAAUUGUGAACUGAGAAUAAUACAAAAAAAAGGGACCAUUCCACAAUUUUUGCAUGAUGACUGUAGUAAACAUUUCCUUACAGCCUUGUUCCAAUGCCUUUAAUAUGGUGACAUUGACUACAAAGUUUAUUGCUAAAUAUUUCCCAACAUCAAAUUCAUGCAGCUUAUUUUAGUUUUAAGUGACCUUUUUACUAUACUGUUCUAAGUAUACUUAAUGUAUAAAACAUAAUCUGUGUAAUAAAAAAGUAUUUUAAAGUGGUAAUAUUACAAUAAAUUCUGAAUUUUUUGUUUAAACUGAAUCAAGUUCCUUACUCUUCCAAAUGAUAAUUUUCUGCAGGAGAAAGGUGACAAUUACUUUAAUUUACAGUAUUUGAAUGGUAAAUAAUAUGCAAAAAAUUAUUUUAAUAAAGAUGUAACUAUUAAAAGAAAAAAAAACUGCUUUUCCAGCCAACCAGAAUUAUUGGCAUGUUGAUAAACAUCUUUAUAAACUUUUCUAUGCAUGAUUUCAAUUUUUAUAUCAUUAGGUUUUUUUCUUGAAUCAUUUUAAAGCAAGAAAAAAUCUUUGGAAUUGUUUUUCAAAAGAAAAUUUUAAUACAUUUUACUAUGUUACUGAAGUUCAACAAAUGAAAAAUUUGGAAUAAUAAUAUCAUAGGCUUAAACUACUGAUUUGGUCAGAGAUUAAUACAGAAAUUUAUGAUGAAUCUAAAUCCCUUCCAAUGGAGAUUAACAAAUAGUGGGAUUUCAAACUAGGAAAAAUCAGGCAUUAACAUUGUAAUUUUUUGAGAAAAUACAAUCUAUUAAAUUUCUUAAAAUACUCAUAAGCACUAAAUAUCAUUAUCAAAGAUUGUUUUAAAGCUUACUUAUUUAAAAAUCAGGAAAAUUAGUUGAUGUUGAGUUUUUUUAUAGUAACAUUAAGAAAGCCUGUAUCAAUUCCUGCCAUAUGGAUGACAAUUGUAUGCUUUUGUGUUAUUUGUUUAUGCACUUACAAAUGUUUUACACUAAAGUGCAACAAUUUUAAAUUGUUUGUAAUUUUCUAAGACUUGUGGUUUUAAGUAAAAACAAUAUGCUAUUA